rnacentral:snRNA from 1 species
GUUCAGGAGCACCGGCUUUACGCAUAGCAGUGAAGAUUCGUCUUAGCUUGCGUUUUUGCUAGCUGAAAACUAUCA